rnacentral:rRNA from 2 species
UGAACGCUGGCGGCAGGCCUAACACAUGCAAGUCGAGCGGUAGCACAGGAGAGCUUGCUCUCUGGGUGACGAGCGGCGGACGGGUGAGUAAUGUCUGGGAAACUGCCUGAUGGAGGGGGAUAACUACUGGAAACGGUAGCUAAUACCGCAUAACGUCUUCGGACCAAAGAGGGGGACCUUCGGGCCUCUUGCCAUCGGAUGUGCCCAGAUGGGAUUAGCUAGUAGGUGAGGUAAUGGCUCACCUAGGCGACGAUCCCUAGCUGGUCUGAGAGGAUGACCAGCCACACUGGAACUGAGACACGGUCCAGACUCCUACGGGAGGCAGCAGUGGGGAAUAUUGCACAAUGGGCGCAAGCCUGAUGCAGCCAUGCCGCGUGUGUGAAGAAGGCCUUCGGGUUGUAAAGCACUUUCAGCGGGGAGGAAGGCAGUAAGGUUAAUAACC